GACGAACGCUGGCGGCGUGCUUAACACAUGCAAGUCGAACGGAGUGGCGAACGGGUGAGUAACACGGGGGUGACCUGCCCUGCACUUCGGGAUAAGCCUGGGAAACUGGGUCUAAUACCGGUUAGCGUGGGAUGGGCCCGCGGCCUAUCAGCUUGUGGGUGGGGUAAUGGCCUACCAAGGCGGCGACGGGUAGCCGGCCUGAGAGGGUGGACGGCCACGUGGGGACUGAGAGACGGCCCAGACUCCUACGGGAGGCAGCAGUGGGGAAUAUUGCACAAUGGGCGGACGCCAGAUGGAGCGACGCCGCGUGGGGGGGAACGGCCUUCGGGUUGUAAACUCCUUUCACCAUCGACGCGGUGGAUGGAGAGGAGGCACCGGCGAACUCCGUGCCAGCAGCCGCGGUAAUAC
rnacentral:rRNA from 1 species